GUGGGCUGGACUUUCUUCGGGCAUAUUAUGAUGCAAACAAGGAAAUAAGGAAGUGCUGGUGGAGUGGAUGUGGAUGAGAGCUGCCCGGUAUCACCAUCUGAUUCACCAAGGGCAUCAUAUACUGGUGACGGGGCCAGAAGGCCUAUAAAAGCUCUCCCUCCCAGCGCCUCCUUAUCCACUUGACUCCACAUCCACUCCCUCCUGUUCGCUUGACAGGCAUUUCUGAGUUGAAGAACCAUGUCUUACCCCAACCAGCAGCAAUGCAAGCAGGUUGUGUGUCCUCCACCAUUGAUUCCUCCCCAGAAAUGUACUCCACCGCAGUGUCCUCUACCAAAGUGCCCUCCAUCAAAGUGCCCUCCACCCCAGUGGCCUGACCAGAAGUGCCCUCCACCCCAGUGUCCUGACCAGAAGUGCCCUCCAUCGAAGUGCCCUCCACCGCAGUGGCCUGACCAGAAGUGCCCUCCACCGCAGUGUCCUCAGCAACAGUGACCUCCACAGAAGUGAUGGCUGAUGCCCCAACCCACCGCGGCAACAUCAACAUCUGGGAAAGCAAGAGCAAGUCAGCAAGUCCCUGAAUGCAGUUUCUUUCACAUCCCUUGCUCUUCUCCCCUUGUUUCCCAGGCUGUUCCUGCAACCAUUUCCAAGCUCUGCUCUUGUACCCAGCAACGAUCCUGUUCUAAGUGGUGCCUUGAAUCUGUGCCGGUGCCAACUGACUUUGCGAUUCAGUCUCCUGGCAUUUUCUUUCUGGUAAGAAGCUGGAUACGGAGAUACAGGACCAGUCUUUAAAUUAUUUUCCAGUGUUUCCCUCCUAUCUUACAUUGUGAGCUUCGUCCAAUAAAAGUUUUCCUUCAUGGCA